rnacentral:lncRNA from 1 species
UUUCCAUUACCUGUUGAAACAAAAAUACCCCUGCGAAGGGGUUUCUGCACAUUUAACUUUAUUCUAAAGCGACAGAACUCACCAAUAAUUUCAGAUCUGAUCACUCCUCCAAAAGUGACUCCAAUAGCAUGCAAAAGAUCUUUUUUAUCAAAUUCAGGUAAACAUGGCCCAAUUUUGAUCCAGGACGGUGAUGAAACAAGUCUAAUUUGAUCUCUCUUCAUUGAUUUUGUCAAUCGAUAAAAAAUAAUUAAAUGUUUCCUAAACAACCAAGGUUGACCUUCCAUAACAGUUUCUAAGUCUUCGUCUAAUUCAAACACUAUCAAAAAAAGGUUUUGCCCAACCGAUUGAAUCUCAAAUUUUUUCUUUGUUUUUCAUAUGCUUUUCAUCUGUGCUUUAAAACUGUCCUGAUUGUAAGAUUUCUUUGUCCAUACAGAACAGAUCAGAUAAGGUUUACCAUUUGCCUCCACCAUCGAACUCUUGACAGAUAGUUGAAUGAGUUCCUCUGCUAAUAGGGAGAUCUCGUCUCCCCCAAACCCAUCGUUCCCACCACUCUCCGUCAUCCCAAGCCGCAGCAGCCACUGUUUUCGCUAGGACACCAGGCAUAGCACUCUUGGCUUCUAGGGUUUUUUCUUUUUAAAUAAAAUUAAUUUAAUAUAAACGAAAAGAUGUAGUUUUUAAUUUAAAGUUUAAUUGAUGUGAGAUAAGAUGAUUGUUACCC